UGCGGAAGGAUCAUUUAACGAGUUUUGAAAUGGUUGUAGCUGGCCUUACGAAGGCAUGUGCACACCCUGCUCAUCCACUCUCAUACCCCUGUGCACCUAUUGUAGGCUUGGUGGGAAGACUGGUGUCACAACCAGUCGGAAAGCCUUGCCUAUGUUUUAACACAAACGCUUCAGUUUUAGAAUGUCACAUUUGCGUCUAACGCAUGAAAUACAACUUUCAGCAACGGAUCUCUUGGCUCUCGCAUCGAUGAAGAACGCAGCGAAAUGCGAUAAGUAAUGUGAAUUGCAGAAUUCAGUGAAUCAUCGAAUCUUUGAACGCACCUUGCACUCCUUGGUAUUCCGAGGAGUAUGCCUGUUUGAGUGUCAUGGUAUUCUCAACCUCUAAAGCUUUUGCCGGAAUUAAGGAAGGGCCUUUGGAUGUGGAGGUCGUGUUGGCGCAAGUCAACUCCUCUGAAAUGCAUUAGUGUGAAUCUUACGGAUCGCCUCCAGUGUGAUAAGUAUCUACGCUGUGGUGUUGAAGUAUAUAGGCAUUCAUGCUUCUAAUCGUCUCUUCAUUGAGACAAUUACUGACAAUCUGACCUCAGUCGU
rnacentral:rRNA from 1 species